rnacentral:rRNA from 1 species
CCUACGGGUGGCAGCAGUAGGGAAUAUUGCUCAAUGGAGGAAACCCUGAACCAGCCACGCCGCGUGGAGGAUGAAGGUUUUCGGAUUGUAAACUCCUUUUGUUAGAGAAGAUAAUGACGGUAUCUAACGAAUAAGCACCGUCUAACUCCGUGACAGCAGCCGCGGUAAUACGGAGGGAGCAAGCGUUACCCGGAAUCACUGGGCGUAAAGAGAGCGUAGGCGGGAAAGCAAGGCAGAUGUGAAAUCCUAUGGCUUAACCAUAGAACUGCAUUUGAAACUGGUAGUCUUGAGUAUGGGAGAGGUAGGUGGAAUUCUUGGUGUAGGGGUAAAAUCCGUAGAGAUCAAGAGGAAUACUCAUUGCGAAGGCGACCUACUGGAACAUAACUGACGCUGAUGCGCGAAAGCGUGGGGAGCAAACAGGAUUAGAUACCCUAGUAGUC